rnacentral:misc_RNA from 1 species
GAUGAAGAACGUAGCGAAAUGCGAUAAGUAAUGUGAAUUGCAGAAUUCAGUGAAUCAUCGAAUCUUUGAACGCACAUUGCGCCCGCCAGUAUUCUGGCGGGCAUGCCUGUUCGAGCGUCAUUUCAACCCUCAGGCCCCGCCUGGCGUUGGGGAUCGGCGCGGCCCUCUCCGGGCUGCCGGCCCCGAAAACUAGUGGCGGUCUCGCUGUAGUCCUCCUCUGCGCAGUAGCAACGCUCGCACUGGAACUCGGCGCGGCCACGCCGUAAAACACCCCACUUCUGAAAGUUGACCUCGGAUCAGGUAGGGAUACCCGCUGAACUUAAGCAUAUCAAUAAGCGGAGGA